UUUCGAAGGGGAAGCAACCCCGAGACUUCAGCGCGUUGGAAAUAAAAACUACAAGUCCCACAAGUCUGUGCGGGACUCGGUCGCCUGUGCCGGGGACGGAAGACGUCCCGGGCAAUAAGGCGAAGGAGGGAAGGAGCGGGGGGUGGAUCUAUGUUUACUUCCGGAUUUCCUGUGAUGCAGGAGCCAGAACGUAACAGCGGCAGCGGCUGAAGAUCUGGGCACAGGGUUCUUGACCGAGGACAAAUCAGCGGUACCCGGGACUUGCAUCUGCCGGUCCUGUGAUCCGCAGAGGGGGAGCCGCGACAAGCCGGGGGUGAACGCCUACCCUUCAGAGCAGGGCAACGGGGGACAAUCGGAGCACCACCGUCUUAACCUCAAGUCAAUGCAGAUCUCCCUUCGCCCGCCUCGGGUGCAGCGCCGGUUCCGCUGACACGGUUCAUGCUCUUGUUGGCGACCCCACACCUCGCCAUCAGGCGCUGCAGAGCGAGCUGACACUGGAGCGACACAGCCGGCACCCGGAGAAAGAAGUUGAAUAACAAGCGGGAUUGGGGUUGGGAUACUGAUAAGCAGGAGGGCGCCUCCAGCCUGCAGUGGAUUUGUCUCUUCAGCAGUCAUGGAUUGGCUUAUGGGGUUUUGGAACCCAAGGGCGAGCCUGGCAGCGAGCGCUUCCUGUGGGUCGGAAUCGGGCGUGCCUGGCAUCGUGGGCUGUGCCCCCCCCCCCGACAGCUGGAGACAGGAAGUGCAGGAGACGGGGCGGGAGCAGAGCAGGCAGAGGCCCGUGGCGCCGGAGCCGAGAUGGAACGCAGAUGUGGCACCUCUCUGGAGAGCUGGCGCUGGCGGGGAGAGAUGUGCGGAUGGCUGAGGGAAGAGCGUCGCAAUUCAGAAACGGACUGGGUAGCACGGCCUCCCCUUCGUGUAGCCAAAACCCACACUGUACGCAGUGCCGGCUCCUCAGCUCUCCAUCUUUACUCAUUAACUGCCGUCGCUUGGUAGGCAUCUAACUGGCCAUAAAAUACAUGAACUGUGUGACUGCAUUGGCCAUCGGAGCAAGCUACCGUGCGAGUGCUGUAAUGUGACUUCCACAUCCAGUGCUCCAGUUAGAUAACCGAGACUCUCGAUCAGUAUGGCAAGGAGGGAUGAAAUUAGAAUGAGACUUUUUAUUGAUAGAAAACGGCAUCUGGCUUUCCACUGUCAGGAGGCUAGCACCCUGUAAUGCUGCUGGGCAAAGUGGUUUACUGUGACCACAUACGCAGCUCGCUUUUUCUCAUCGCUUGCAGUGAGUCAGUCGUUUAACCUCCGGAAGUGAAGCAGCAGUUUUCCUGCUGCCAGCUCCAUUUCUCCAUGCUUUCCUCCUGGCUGAUCCUAUGGCUCUCCCAUUCCAUUUCCUGCUCCUGACAGCAUCGGGCACCUCUCUGGUUCUUGUCUGUGGCUGUCAAUCCCUAUAUUGAAUUAUUCAUCCAUUCAAUAUAACGUGAAUGCUCCUGUGAAUUAUUCAUUAACAGUAGAAAUGUUUUUGCUCGUACCCAAAGAAUACAGUAAGAUUUGUUUUGCUCUACAUGGUCCUAUCCUCUGCCUGUGUGCUGUGAGGUGACAAUGGAAGAGAGCGAUUUGCUUUUAGGUCUGAAGAGAUUGUAAUUAGCUGCCACUCCUCAUCUGGCUGUUGCUCACUGGAGCGGGGAGGGUCAGCGAUUUUUUUUUCAGGGCCUGUGGAUGACGUCAGUCCGUCCUCUGGCUCCUGGGGCUGUUUAAUAAAGUCCUGAAUUCAACUGCGUAGGCGUGCAGAUUUCAUGGGGUGGGCUGUCUACCUCGUCUUUUCCGUCAUCAUUUCUAAUUUCUUAUGGUCACCUUGUAAAACAGGGCCUGCAGGGAGGUUCCAGUGAUUGAUUUCAGACUUCAGGCAAACCGACAAGUCGUACGCUUUUUGAGACUCUAAGAUUAAUCAGGAGAAAAUCUAGAUUAUGGCAGAGAUGUGUCCCGAGAAAACAAACCAGUAAUACACAAAGCAA
ensembl:lincRNA